AAGCAGGUCUGAGCGCUCGGAGGACGGAGCAGAUGAGAGCAACGGUCUUCUGGGGUGACUUCUAAUUGACCACUGUUUUGGACAACACAGACCACACCUCGACUCUGGGUGUUUUUAGGGUUCAGAGUCUGCUGGAAAAGACGUUCACUCACAAGGCCGGGCAAGGCUGCGAUUGACACUCUUCUACCUGAGGGCUAGGAUGACUGGUGAAGCUACAGAGGUCCCCUGGUGACACUGCAGGGUGCUGUUGUAAUGGCAAUCCAGCUGUACAGAGGAACUGGUUCAGGGGUUAUAAGGUCCGAUGGAACUUGGUUAGGAUGAGAGCUGCUUAAUGAGUUUUCACUGUCACUAUUGCCAGGAUCCAGAAAUAUUCCAUGACUCUCUACUGUAGGAUGAGAGAGAAAGAGAGAAACAGUUGCUUAAGAUUUUAGAACAUGUGCAAGAUAAAAACGUAAAUGAUUUUAAUACAUUUAGGUUGAUUUAAAAAACUAUUUCAGUUAUUUCCCAACAUGGAGUUAGCUAAACAGAAAGGAAACGGUCAUAUUAAUAUGCAACAUUCUGUUUUUUUUUUUUGGAAUUUUGUUCAUACUCUUUGUAAUACAUAACUGUUCAAAAGUUCGAAGUUUGUAAGAUUUUUUAAUAUUUAAGUCUCUUUUUCUCACAAAGGCUGCAUUUAUUUGAUCAAAAAUACAGUAAAAC